CAUUGCUGUACAGCAGAAACCAACACAACAUUGGAAAGCAAUCAUACUCUAAAUUAAAAAAAAUUUUUAAUUAAAAAAUGUUAGAAGUCUUAGGUGUUAAAUAACAAACAAAGCUAGUUCAAGCUCCCAACAGCAGAACUAGGAAAUUCUGGUGACCGGAAAAGGCCUUCGGAGAGAGGGAAGCAGCAUGCUGUGUUCAAGGGCAGCUUCUCAUUUGAACUUGAGUGAGUUCGGUUUGUUUCCUCUCAGUCAGUUCCGGGCACUUGUUGUGUUUUGAUCAUCCCAGCAUGCAGGCCGAUUGGUUACAGUUCAAAGACUGGGCUGCUGCUGCCGCUGCUGCUGCGUCACUUCAGUUGUGUCCGGCUCUGUGCGACCCCACAGACAGCAGCCCACCAGGCUCCCUGUCCUUGGGAUUCUCCAGGCAAGAACACUGGAGUGGGUUGCCAUUUUCUUCUCCAGUGCAUGAAAGUGAAAAGUGAAAGGGAAGUCACUCGGCCAUGUCCGACUCUUAGCGACCCCUUGGACUGCAGCCCAUCAGGCUCCUCCGUCCAUGGGAUUUUCCAGGCGAGAGGACUGGAGUGGGGCGCCACUGCCCUCUGAGCAGCACAACAUAAUUAAGAGGCAACUGACUUCUGGGAAAAGAGAGCUGUGUGCCCCCCGGGAGUGAGUCUGAUGGGCAUCUAUCUUGAAGAAUGUGGACAUUAAACAGAAGGGGCAGAUAUUUCAGAGAAGGAAACUGAGGAUACAGUGGACCAAUCACUGGCUGUUACAAGAGCCCAGGAGUUCAGCCGCAGGCUUGUCUUCUUCCCAAAAGGCUCGGACGCCGUGUCCUCAGAGCGACCUGUGCUAUCUGGGGCCUCGCACUGCUGCUCACAAAGACUUCACACCGAAAGGAAGUCUCCCUCACGCUUGUGUAGCCUUCACCGAGAAGAAGAAACGCAGGAUUGCUUUUUUAAUUCCCCAAAAGAACUGUUUUUCAAAACCGCCGUUGGAAAAUCGUCUCUGAGGGACGACAGCCAAGGGAGGAUUCCUGUUUGGCGAAGAAGCAGACAGGCGGGUCCCAAGCAGCCUUUGGGGACUUUCCCCCGCUUUUGCCUAAAUGUCAAGUGUCGGGCAUUCACACGGUUAAAAACGACCUAAAAUGAGCAACUUCCCCAAUGCUGGAUGACAAGUGUCAAGCCCUCUGCCCCUCCCAUCCCAGGGGCUGUUGUGAGUUCUCAUCUUUAUAGGAGAAAACGCGGAACUUGAGUGGGCUGGAGCCACAGGCUGGCAGCAGAGAUUGGGUCCUUGUCUCCUUGGACGGGCCCUGGAAUCCUUCUGGAACACACAGGAUAUGUAUGAACAUGAUGGAGCAGAACACAGUUCUCUCCUGCCGAAUCCCACUUCUUCCCACCAACAUGGCAGGAAGAAAAAUGACCUCAUGGUUAAGCCUGUAAACUUUGGAAUCAAACAAACCUGUGUGCAAUCUUUGCGUUUUUUUUUUUUUUUUUAACCUAACAGUUCUGUGGCUUCCACCAAAUUCUGUAACUUCUUUGUACUUUUGUUUAUUCAUGUGCAAAAUGGUGAUAAAGAUCACCACCACACUGGGUUCCUUUGAAGAUGAAAUAGGAUAAGAUGCAGAGAGUGGAUGUGCACAGCCCUGUGGACUGUAGAUUUUAUUCUCGGAUUACCUGUUUGCUUCUCACCCUACCUCGGGGCUGUCAUUCAUGGGAUGAAAUAAGAAAGGAUGGUUUGGGGAGAAAGAUACUCUUGGUAACCUGCAGACUUUCUUGUGAAAAGUGAAAUCUCCCAGUUCCAGGUUGGCAUCUGUUGUUGGUAACUAGGUUGGCGCCAGCCAAUGAACCAAUUUACUGAGCACUAUUACUUGCUGGGAUGGCUUCCCUGAUGGCGCAGGUGGUAAAGAAUCCUCCCGCAAUGUGGGAGGCCUGGGUUUGAUUCCCAGGCUGGGAAGAACUCCUGCAGGAGGGAAUGGCAACCCACUCCAGUAUUCUUGUCUGGAAAACUCCAUGGACAGAGUAGUCUGGAGGGCUAUAGUCCACAGGGUCACAAACAGUCGGACACGACUGAGUGACUAACACCUGCUAGGCAGUGUGCUUAAGCCCUCUUAUAGGUAUAUGACCAGUGUCCACAUAGAUUAUAUUAUCCCGUAUGUUUUAUUCAAAUAAGUCCUGAUAACAGCCACUUCUCAGCACCUCUUCAGCAACGACGCUAGUCUCAGCCACCAUCUUCUCCCAAGAAGUCACAGCAGGAGCCUUCUCCUUGGCCUCCCCUCAUGCAUUCUUUCCAUUUCCAGUGAACUUUGGAGUCAACCAGAACAGGAGAACUGCCAGUCUGGAGAGAGAGUCAUGUUACAUACGGGGGCCCAGGGACUGUGGAAUCAGGGACUGGAUCCUGCCUUGCUCAGUUAGUUGCUAACAUACCUUCAGGCACAAGGUAGCCACUGACAAAGGUGCUUUCCAUGCCCCUGGUUGCGGGCUCCGAGGACGCCAGCCUCGCCGUCACCCAUCACCCGUCACCCGUCGCGGCUGAGACGAGCAGGCGUCGAGUGCAGCUGGCUGUCUCUGGUCGCCAGGGAAGUGCCUUCACUUAAGCAGACUGCUGGCAUUGCUUCCUCCUGUCUGCUCCACCAGCACAAUGAGAGGGAGACUUACCCACCCAGCACAGCCUAAGAUUUGAGAGGGCUUCUGCUCCAGGAAACACAGUACAUAGCCGAGAAUCUCUCUCUGCAGCCUUUUAAAGCCAGCCUUUGGAUUAACCAGACGUGUGAUGAGCAUUUUUUAAAAAACAUAUGUCUACUAAAAGUGAAAGUACUGUUGUUUUUGUUUAUAAAUACAUCAAAACACUCAGAUCCUUUAUUGAUCUGUGCUGAGGGAGUUGUGGGUUUUCAUACAAUGUUUUCUGAAAGAGUGAAAAGCGAAUACCUCAAAACGAAAAUAGGAUCACACAUGGUUUUAUCAUCUUGUGCAGUUCAUUUUAUUACAACCUGAUCUUAUGGAAGGAAUCCCAUUUUGGUUUAAUCUUUUGGGGCUCCCUGCUCAGCUAACUUGAAGGUUUAGCUUGGGAUGUUUAAUUCCAUAGUCUGUGAUUAUUUUAGGAAAUUUACUAAAAAGCCAAAACACAAUCUAUAGAGUGAUCCACUGUGGUGGAGUUCAAAGCAGAGUGCUCUAGCAAUUCACACACGACGGAACAGCAAAGGGGGAUGGCGUAGCCAAGCUGGCACCUGACACGAGAGGCCCUAGCCCCUACUAUGUUUCCUGGGGCCAGAGAUUGUGGCCGUGCAUCCUGUGAGAAAGCAGAAGCGGGAUGUACACGCGAUAAUUGUAACACCACAGCACACCAUGUCACUUAAGUGUACAAAGCACGGGCUUCUAGUGUUAGAGAAGCUGCCUGCCAAAGCAGGAGACAUGAAAGAGGUGAGUUCAGUCCCUGGCUUGGGAAGACCCCCUGGAGAAGGGAAUGACGACCCACUCCAGUGUUCUUGCCUGGAGAAUCCCAGGGACAGAGGAGCCUGCUGGGCUACAGUCCACAGGGUUACAAAGAUUGGACACAACUGAAGUGACUUGGCCACGUGAACAAAGCAUAGUACAAAAUAGUUUGCAUUGAACUGGAUAGUCAGGCAGUCAAUAUGUAUUUUAUUAAUCACCUGCUGUUUGCAAGGUACUUUCAUAACUAUGAAAUAAUCUAUAUAAAAAAAAUCUGAAGGGAGUAUGUAAAAAUGAGGCUGAGUCAGGAAGAUGGGAUUAUCAUGUGUUCUUUGUCUUUAUUCUCCCCUAAUAUUGAAACAUAUAUGCUUUCAAACGGGACCUUAUUAAACUUAGAAGUUUUGCACAGCAAGGGAAGCCAUCAACAAAACAAAAAGACAACCUACUGAAUGGGAAAAAAAAUAAUUGCAAAUGAUAUG
rnacentral:lncRNA from 1 species